GAUUGAACGCUGGCGGCAGGCCUAACACAUGCAAGUCGAGCGGAUGAAGGGAGCUUGCUCCUGGAUUCAGCGGCGGACGGGUGAGUAAUGCCUAGGAAUCUGCCUGGUAGUGGGGGAUAACGUCCGGAAACGGGCGCUAAUACCGCAUACGUCCUGAGGGAGAAAGUGGGGGAUCUUCGGACCUCACGCUAUCAGAUGAGCCUAGGUCGGAUUAGCUAGUUGGUGGGGUAAAGGCCUACCAAGGCGACGAUCCGUAACUGGUCUGAGAGGAUGAUCAGUCACACUGGAACUGAGACACGGUCCAGACUCCUACGGGAGGCAGCAGUGGGGAAUAUUGGGCAAUGGGCGAAAGCCUGAUCCAGCCAUGCCGCGUGUGUGAAGAAGGUCUUCGGAUUGUAAAGCACUUUAAGUUGGGAGGAAGGGCAGUAAGUUAAUACCUUGCUGUUUUGACGUUACCAACAGAAUAAGCACCGGCUAACUUCGUG
rnacentral:rRNA from 1 species